UGUGUCAUAAUCUAGAUGGCCACUAUCUUUACACUGAAGCCAACGGCGCGUCACUUGGAGAUACAGCUCGGCUCAUCAGCUCCGAAUGUUCUGCCGCUGGUCCUCAGUGUCUGCACUUCUGGUACCAUAUGUACGGCUCGGCUGAAACGAUGGGCCUCCAUGUCUAUUUGCUCCAAGACAAAAAGGCUCAAGCUAUUAGUUGGACCAGGAAUAAUCAAGGGAAUAUGUGGCGUCUGGCCCAAGUUGACUUCACCACAACUGGAUCUUUUCAGAUCAUUUUUGAGGGUCGACGAGGUUCUAAUGAGCAGUCAGAUGUGGCCAUAGAUGACAUUUCCCUUUUCAGUGGGCGCUGUUCAGACCUGACUGAACCUACCACCCCUGCAUCCAUGACAACUCCUUCAGUUACAACUGAAGGUUUUGAACCUCCGGCAGGAAACAUAUCAACGACACAACCACCAACAUCUACAGUAAAAACCACCACAAUUGAACCUCAGCCAACCGUCACAGCUCGCCCAUUAUCAACCGACCACCCAGUC